CAAUUUACUAAACAAGUGGCCUAUAUAAUGCCGUAAUACGGACGGCAGUCUCUACCCGGAGCCAUAAACUCUGGACUAUAAGCAAUUUGAACAUAAGC
rnacentral:ncRNA from 2 species